GUCCACGCCCUAAACGAUGAAUACUCGCUGUUAGCGAUACACAGUUAGCGGCUAAGCGAAAGCGUUAAGUAUUCCACCUGGGGAGUACGGUCGCAAGAUUGAAACUCAAAGGAAUUGACGGGGGCCCGCACAAGCGGAGGAGCAUGUGGUUUAAUUCGAUGAUACGCGAGGAACCUUACCCGGGCUUGAAAGUUAGUGAAUCAUUUAGAGAUAGAUGAGUCCGCAAGGACACGAAACUAGGUGCUGCAUGGCUGUCGU
rnacentral:rRNA from 1 species